rnacentral:rRNA from 1 species
GAAACAUCUUCGGGUUGUGAGGUUAAGCGACUAAGCGUACACGGUGGAUGCCCUGGCAGUCAGAGGCGAUGAAGGACGUGCUAAUCUGCGAUAAGCGUCGGUAAGGUGAUAUGAACCGUUAUAACCGGCGAUUUCCGAAUGGGGAAACCCAGUGUGAUUCGUCACACUAUCAUUAACUGAAUCCAUAGGUUAAUGAGGCGAACCGGGGGAACUGAAACAUCUAAGUACCCCGAGGAAAAGAAAUCAACCGAGAUUCCCCCAGUAGCGGCGAGCGAACGGGGAGCAGCCCAGAGCCUGAAUCAGUGUGUGUGUUAGUGGAAGCGUCUGGAAAGGCGUGCGAUACAGGGUGACAGCCCCGUACACAAAAAUGCACAUACUGUGAGCUCGAUGAGUAGGGCGGGACACGUGGUAUCCUGUCUGAAUAUGGGGGGACCAUCCUCCAAGGCUAAAUACUCCUGACUGACCGAUAGUGAACCAGUACCGUGAGGGAAAGGCGAAAAGAACCCCGGCGAGGGGAGUGAAAAAGAACCUGAAACCGUGUACGUACAAGCAGUGGGAGCACAGAGCAAUCUGUGUGACUGCGUACCUUUUGUAUAAUGGGUCAGCGACUUAUAUUCUGUAGCAAGGUUAACCGAAUAGGGGAGCCGAAGGGAAACCGAGUCUUAACUGGGCGUUAAGUUGCAGGGUAUAGACCCGAAACCCGGUGAUCUAGCCAUGGGCAGGUUGAAGGUUGGGUAACACUAACUGGAGGACCGAACCGACUAAUGUUGAAAAAUUAGCGGAUGACUUGUGGCUGGGGGUGAAAGGCCAAUCAAACCGGGAGAUAGCUGGUUCUCCCCGAAAGCUAUUUAGGUAGCGCCUCGUGAAUUCAUCUCCGGGGGUAGAGCACUGUUUCGGCAAGGGGGUCAUCCCGACUUACCAACCCGAUGCAAACUGCGAAUACCGGAGAAUGUUAUCACGGGAGACACACGGCGGGUGCUAACGUCCGUCGUGAAGAGGGAAACAACCCAGACCGCCAGCUAAGGUCCCAAAGUCAUGGUUAAGUGGGAAACGAUGUGGGAAGGCCCAGACAGCCAGGAUGUUGGCUUAGAAGCAGCCAUCAUUUAAAGAAAGCGUAAUAGCUCACUGGUCGAGUCGGCCUGCGCGGAAGAUGUAACGGGGCUAAACCAUGCACCGAAGCUGCGGCAGCGACGCUUAUGCGUUGUUGGGUAGGGGAGCGUUCUGUAAGCCUGCGAAGGUGUGCUGUGAGGCAUGCUGGAGGUAUCAGAAGUGCGAAUGCUGACAUAAGUAACGAUAAAGCGGGUGAAAAGCCCGCUCGCCGGAAGACCAAGGGUUCCUGUCCAACGUUAAUCGGGGCAGGGUGAGUCGACCCCUAAGGCGAGGCCGAAAGGCGUAGUCGAUGGGAAACAGGUUAAUAUUCCUGUACUUGGUGUUACUGCGAAGGGGGGACGGAGAAGGCUAUGUUGGCCGGGCGACGGUUGUCCCGGUUUAAGCGUGUAGGCUGGUUUUCCAGGCAAAUCCGGAAAAUCAAGGCUGAGGCGUGAUGACGAGGCACUACGGUGCUGAAGCAACAAAUGCCCUGCUUCCAGGAAAAGCCUCUAAGCAUCAGGUAACAUCAAAUCGUACCCCAAACCGACACAGGUGGUCAGGUAGAGAAUACCAAGGCGCUUGAGAGAACUCGGGUGAAGGAACUAGGCAAAAUGGUGCCGUAACUUCGGGAGAAGGCACGCUGAUAUGUAGGUGAAGUCCCUCGCGGAUGGAGCUGAAAUCAGUCGAAGAUACCAGCUGGCUGCAACUGUUUAUUAAAAACACAGCACUGUGCAAACACGAAAGUGGACGUAUACGGUGUGACGCCUGCCCGGUGCCGGAAGGUUAAUUGAUGGGGUUAGCGCAAGCGAAGCUCUUGAUCGAAGCCCCGGUAAACGGCGGCCGUAACUAUAACGGUCCUAAGGUAGCGAAAUUCCUUGUCGGGUAAGUUCCGACCUGCACGAAUGGCGUAAUGAUGGCCAGGCUGUCUCCACCCGAGACUCAGUGAAAUUGAACUCGCUGUGAAGAUGCAGUGUACCCGCGGCAAGACGGAAAGACCCCGUGAACCUUUACUAUAGCUUGACACUGAACAUUGAGCCUUGAUGUGUAGGAUAGGUGGGAGGCUUGGAAGUGUGGACGCCAGUCUGCAUGGAGCCGACCUUGAAAUACCACCCUUUAAUGUUUGAUGUUCUAACGUUGACCCGUAAUCCGGGUUGCGGACAGUGUCUGGUGGGUAGUUUGACUGGGGCGGUCUCCUCCUAAAGAGUAACGGAGGAGCACGAAGGUUGGCUAAUCCUGGUCGGACAUCAGGAGGUUAGUGCAAUGGCAUAAGCCAGCUUGACUGCGAGCGUGACGGCGCGAGCAGGUGCGAAAGCAGGUCAUAGUGAUCCGGUGGUUCUGAAUGGAAGGGCCAUCGCUCAACGGAUAAAAGGUACUCCGGGGAUAACAGGCUGAUACCGCCCAAGAGUUCAUAUCGACGGCGGUGUUUGGCACCUCGAUGUCGGCUCAUCACAUCCUGGGGCUGAAGUAGGUCCCAAGGGUAUGGCUGUUCGCCAUUUAAAGUGGUACGCGAGCUGGGUUUAGAACGUCGUGAGACAGUUCGGUCCCUAUCUGCCGUGGGCGCUGGAGAACUGAGGGGGGCUGCUCCUAGUACGAGAGGACCGGAGUGGACGCAUCACUGGUGUUCGGGUUGUCAUGCCAAUGGCACUGCCCGGUAGCUAAAUGCGGAAGAGAUAAGUGCUGAAAGCAUCUAAGCACGAAACUUGCCCCGAGAUGAGUUCUCCCUGACUCCUUGAGAGUCCUGAAGGAACGUUGAAGACGACGACGUUGAUAGGCCGGGUGUGUAAGCGCAGCGAUGCGUUGAGCUAACCGGUACUAAUGAACCGUGAGGCUUAACCUU